ACAUCAGCUCGUUGGGUGGGCGGGUGGAGCAGGGUCAGCUGGGACGGGGGAACCAGCCUCAGGCUGGCCAAGUCUCAGCCUCAUUUCUCAGCUCUGUCAAAGGCUUGUGAAGUCUGUGGGGAGAGUCUUCCCUCCCAGUCCUGUCCGGGCGGCUUGUCAGUGCUUUUCCUCUCGGGCAGCCUCCGCAUCCCUCACGCUGGCUCUGGAGCGACACGCUUGGCCAGCUCCCUUGCCUCCACCUGCCCAGGUAGCCCUCGAGCAAGGGAGAAAAGCGAGCUGCUGGCUUUGAGGAUGGGAGAAGGAGCCAAGAGCCAAGAGCCAAGAAGGUGGGAGCGCUCUGGAGGCUGGAAAAGGCCAGGACACGGCUGCUCCCCUGGAGCCUUGGGAGGAGCGCGGCUCUGCGGACCCCUGGAUUCAGCCCAGGAGACUUCCGCAGGCUGUCGGAUGACCUGCUUGUUUGUUUGAAGCCAGUGGGUUUGUGACAGUCCGUUGCAGCCGCCACAGGAAACUCCUGUAACGAUGGAGCUGGGAAAGCGGCUCUUCUCCCGACCCUGCCCCGUGUGUGCGCCCGGGUGCAGAGUCAGAGCAUCCGCUUAGCAGCCGCAGCCUUCCUACCGUGUGACUCCAGGCAAGUCCCUCAUGUCUCUGCCUCUCCAUCGCCGCAUCUGUAAACCGGGGUGAUGGUUACCCCCACAUUGCACCCUCCAUGCGGGAGGCAGGUGUCCACCUCAGAGAACUCCUUUUGGGUCCGCCUGAGACCCAGUUCCCUCGGCUCCCUGGAGAGAGACUUCCCCAGGAUCCUGGACCCCAUUCCCGCCCUCAGUGCUGACACCUGGGGCCUUUUUUGGAGCGGUCCUUUGAUUUCCUGUCCUAGCAGGCUGUGUGUGGAGUUGUCACUUCUAUCACCCAAAUCCUGGGGCCUCCAGGUUCACUCUUAAGGAACUUUGACAAUAGCAUCACGAUCCUGGUUUCCAAUAUUAAUUCUAACCCUGCAUCCAUGGGGUGCAGUGUUCUGCAGUUUGUUUGAACUUUUCCUUUGUUCCAGGAUGGAUUUCACUUUUAAGAAGCCUCUGAAUGGAGAGGAGGGCAAGUGUGUUCAAAGAGGCUUUCCUCGAUCAGGAGCGGGGCGGGGGCGGGGGUUGUCAGCAAGGUUUUGCCCUUUUGUUACAGGGUGGCCUCUGGAGAGAAGGGCGUGGGCGGAGGGACCUGCUCCGAGAGGGGCCAGCACCCUGGCUGGCUGUGGGGGAACUGGGGGUGGGCCUGGGCGGCAGAAGUCCCACCACUUCCCCUUGGAAGGUCUACCCUGUCUCCAGGGGUGCCUCUCGUGUCUAAGACUCACCAGUCCUAGUCAGACAGAACAGCAGCCUUGGAAAGAGCUGGCUUGGAAGUCAGGCUGACCAGGGUUCAACCCAGGCCGUGUCGUUCACCAGCAGAUGAUGUCAGGCAAGGGACUGCAUCCUCCUCACAGUUUCUUCCAAAUACAUGCAAGUUCACACGUUUCCCUUCCUGAGAGGAGCUGGAAAUUUAGACCUGCCCUCUCGGAAAGGGCUUCUGAUCUGAGAGGAAGGUGUGUGCAGGGUAGCCAGGAGCACACUCUGAGGUCGCCCCAGCCAGGUGGCCUCCUAUUCUGUCUACAGAUGAGACUGGCUGGGGAGAGCAUCACUGGGAAGCUGGGCUGAUGGGAGAGAGCAGCGCCCACGUCCACGCAGCUAGGAACGUCUCUGCCAGGCUCCUGGCGCCCUCUGCUGGCCUCCUCAGGAAAGAGACUGCUGGUGGGCAUUGCCCAGCUCUUUACCCUGGACGGAAGCCUGAGUUGGCCAACUUGGCUAAGAAACAGGGAUCUAGACUCCACCACCACCCACAACAUCUGGCCCCCAGAGCAGGAGUCCUUCCCUCUCCCUACACCCAGCCCCUUUGUCUCCCGACUUCUCUCCACAGCCGGUCCCGCAGCAUCUUACUUUGGUUUGCAGAAAUGCACAUCCUGGGAAGAUGGCAUGUGGCACAGCAUGGGGCAUGCCCCUUCCUUCCCUCUAGUCUCCAUGUCCUGUAAUCAUCAGCUUGGCCCUCAGGGCCCACUGUAACCAGGGGCUGGCUGGGCUCUGCUCUUGAGGGUGGUUCCUGCACAGAGGGACGUGAUUUGAAAAUCAAAUUGGUGGGGCCGGCACAUUCCAUUCCUGAGCUGAUCAGUUUCCAACCUGGGCAUGCAGACGAGCCGUCUGCAGCAUAAUGGCCCUUGGAGGGAUGGUCUGGGGGCACCGCUGGGGAAGUGGAAGGGCCCUCGGCAGGAACAUGGACCUAACACUUAGUUUUGAGAAGUGAGGACGGCCAGACUUCUUCUGCUCCACCGGAAGGGAACAAGCAUUGAUGGAGCAUCAACUGUGUCCUGAGCACCUGCCUGUACAUUUAUUCACUUACUCUUGCUGAUCAGCUUGUGACACGGGUAUUUAUACUGUUCUGUUUUACAGAGGAGUAAAUGAGGCUCAGAGGGGUGAAGUUAAUGACCCCAGGUUACGCCAGUCUGAUCUAAGCCCAGGAUGUCCGGCUCUGAAGCCAGCAUCCUUCCACUCCCUGCAGUGUUCCACCACCCUGCCCGCCCUGUCUCUCUCCAUCAUCCUGCUGUUUCUAACUUGUAACUUCUGACACUUCCAGAUGCUCUCUCUCUCUGUCUCUCUCCUGAUCUCACUUGCUCUCCAACCCACCCUGUGUCCCCGAGUCUCAUGCAGCAAAGCCUUCCUGACAGACAGGCAUGGCUGAGGUCCUGUCCAGCUCUCCAUCUUUACAAACUCCACCGCAUCUCCCAGCCCUGCCCCUGCUAGCUGUGCUCUCAGUUGCCCCUGAGCCCCAUCUCAUCUGAGAGAGGAGGCAUCCAUCCCAGCCUUGUGAGAUGGGCACAGGGUCCCUGGGGUCGAAGCCCCUCGCCCCGGGGUGCACGUGGCUGGUGCUCAGCAAACACCGUGCCCCUUCCUGAGUGGGGUAGUGGCAACAUCUUUUGGGGAGCAGAGGCUGUGGGAGGCAGGGCUGCUGGCUGUGAGGAGGACCUCUCAUCCCUGUAUCCAGUGUCCAGCUGGCACGUCACUGUGUGCUCUUGACCAACCACUCCGUGCACAGCAUCAGGUGGUGUCUGAGAUGGGAAGUCUUGCUGCCUGUGGGGCCUCACGCAGAGCAGCCUGUUCCCAUGGAGACGCCCGGGGGACCCCAGGGCCAGGGUCUGUAGCUGUUCCUCUGGCCCUAGCAGCCCUGUAGUACUUUGGGUCUGUGGAAAGUGAGGUCCUUAAAAUCCGUGCUUGGAGAGUCACAGGGCAAACCAGGAAGAAGCUCGGUGUUUCUAACACAUCCACAGCCCAGGCCUCCCCUUCUCCUGCACCCACACCUCACCCGGCACAGGUGUGGCCCCUGCGAACGCUCUUCCCAGGCCUCAGGUGGCCCCAAGGUAAUAAUCAGGGAUUAUGAUUAUUGCCACCACUGCUUUAUUUACCAACACGGUUAAAGGGGAAGCCACCUAUCUCGAGGAGGGUGGGGGAGUGCUAAUGCCCCCAGUGUCACUGUGUGUCCUGGAACACACUGGGCAGAGACAGCAGGUGCAUGAGGGUCCAGUUCUCUGACCACCCUCUGGGGUCAGGUGACGGGAGAGCUUGGAUCAAGGUGCAGCUGGACACAGUGUGGGGCUGCUGUCCAGGAGCAUCAGCUGGAGUUUUGUCACUUGCCGCCUCAUCCCGCAAAGCAGAACGGAAACAAUCAAGGAUGCACUGAGCACGUGCAGCACCGACAGCCUGCGUGCUUCGGCUCUGCUGCUUCCAGGUUUUGCUGAGUUCGCUCAGUGUCUUUGGCAAUGCAGAGCGAGGGGCUAGGAUGUCUCGCUGACUCUGGGUCACCGGACACAGAGGUGGACGUGUGGUGUGGUGGAGAAGGAAUGGGCUCCAGGACCAGCCGAGACGGUCAGGACAAGGUGGGGGAGACCGGCCUCGGCGCUGCGGGUCCCCGGGGCUGCCCGUGCCAGGGCCCUUGUUUUCUUUCUACACCUCGGCUUCCCAGGCUGUCCAGUUUGACCUCGUGGUCUCUAAGGUUUAUGCCAGCUGUGAAGUUCUGUGAUUUUGGAAAUCACUGAGAAGUAGAAAGAAAGUGUGAUAAGAAUUACCCAGGGGCUAAAACCGGCAUGACAGGGAUCACAUUCUCUUUCCAGUGGAGACACCCCAAGCCGUGUGCUCACAGAAAGCCAAGCAGUCACAUCCUCGUGGCCCCAGGGAACAGACUCUGUGCUUGAAAGCCAGUGCAUGGUUCGCGGUGGCCCAGCCUGUUGUGUCUCUGACAGGUGGUCGGAGUCCGAGCCUCCUGGAGAUGCUGGUGUGUGAGGGGCUGGGCUGGGGGAUGCAGGGCGAGGUCUGGGGCUCAGAGGGCUGCCAGGGGCUUGAAGACCAGGAAUAACCAUGUUUCUCACCAUUCCUGGAGACCUUAGCGUGACAGAGUCCUCUAUUUUUAGUGGGGAAAAAAAAUAGUGUAAGUAGCUUUAGCCCAGAGACAAUUCGAGCACCUAGAGCAUCUUCAAAGCCCUUGAUUGUUCGAGGCUUUUCCACGGUGUCAGGUACUCUUCACACGGCUGUGUUGACAACCUCUCUUUGACCAUCUCUUCUACUGACCCUGUCCUCCGUAGCCCGUCCAUGGCCACACACACAGACACACACAGAUGAAAGCCUGGAUUAUCCCUCGAAUGUUCUAAAUUGCGACGAUCUCCUUUCCACCUGACUUACCCCUGUGAUUAAAUUAGCUGUGGGAAGUUUACUAAUUCCUUUGCCGAGUGAAAAACUCAGUCAGUUAUCCCUGGGGGCUGAUAGCUUGCAAGAGGGUGUCCUGGAACGAUGCUUUGGCAUUAAGUAGGUGUCAGUGACGAUGAGCCCAUUAAACAACAUUUGGAAUAUGUUCUGUGCAUUCUUUGAUGAAAGGAAACUUCGAUGUUCUUCCUCUUUCAUUUUGAUCUUCUUUUCCCAAAAAUACUUAUAGGAUUAGCCUGUGGCACCGGCUUUGGGGGUAUCUUCCUCUGUUAUUCAGCGUGAGCACAUGUGUGUACGCACAUGGGGGCGUGAGUGGAUGUCUGCGUGUGUUUACACUUCAUCCUGAUUCUAAGUCCUGGCUCAUUAAUAAUGGCUGACUGCAUCACUAAGGAGCCACUAAAUAUUGUACUACUUAUAAGUAAUCCGUUGCCCAAGGCACGGGGCUACUUAAUGAAGCCUUGAAUUAAUGUGUAACUUGAGAAAUACAUCAUUCUACAAAUAUAGGUUACUGGAAGCGUAAUUUAAGCUGUUCUGUUUACUUCACUACUUGGAUGAAUACAAGGGAAGAAGUAAUAAGUACAAUAACAAAUAAAAUGUAUGAAGCUAGGCAUUGUGCAAAUUACUUUUUUAUUACUUUUUAUUAAUUUUUCUCUUCGGUUGUCAUAAUAACCCCAUAAGAGAGACACUACUCCCAUUCCCUCUCUGCAGAUGAGGAAACCGAGGCUCAGGUGUGUGUCCCUAGUCCAGGGUCCUGCAGUGGAUUCAAAUCCAAGCGCAUGUGACUCUUGUAACUACUGGAUCCUGCAUCUCUUGGUGGAGAGAGUGAGGCAAAGAGCGGGUUUGUGUGCUAGGAUGUCAGUUAUUUGCCUAAAGGUAAAUGUGGAGUUUGUUGCCUAAGGGGCUGGUAUUGAUGGUUGGAGGACGCAGUGGUAAACGGGACAUCGAGGAGAACCACGCAGUUUUUAUGGCAGAGACCUUGGGAGAGAGAGAUGGUCACUCAGUGCUCAGCGAGGUGCAGCUGGUGACAAGCUUUCUACACCUUGAGGGCUGGUGGCCGGGAUGACCUGUUCACUAACCAGAGGUGACGACGCGAGUAGAGCCCGGUUCAGGGGAUUCGAGGUGAAUGUGUGUUUCUAGAGGACGUUCAAGCCAGACUCAUAAAACUCUUGGACCUUUCUUCGGGGACAGCCUCCCAGGUUUAGCUGGGCGACCUUCUCAGAGUCCCAAGAUGAGGCUGACCCUGUGCUGGCCCCUGUUCAGGGAGGGCUGAGCCCCACCUACAGUCACUCCCAUGGCCUGGGAUGACACAGAUAGAGGCUCUGUUCUGUGGGCCUCAGGUGCUUCCUGCUCACCCACGAUCACGUGGGACUGAGCUCUGCCCAGGUGUCUGCCUAGCGCACGGCUUGAGCCCUUGGAAGUGGUACUGCACUGAGAGGAUGUACUGAAGACUGCGCAGGGGUAUGGAUGGGCAGUGGAGUGUUGGGGACACACUUGGUGGAUGGUGGGUGACAGGCUGGUCCAUCAUCCAGUGUGCUCUGGUCUCUGGGCCUCACUCUUUGGCAGAUCAUGGACUCAUCUGGGAGAUCUGGCAAGGAUCUUAAAGAUGCAAGCCCCCUGGGCAAGCUGGGGCCCACUGUCAUUACCCCACUGGCUCUUGCCCCUGGCUGGUGACAGAGAAGACAAAAGUCCGGAUCUCUUAAUUCCUGGCAUUUUGACAUUUGACAUGUUUAGCCAAGCACUUGCCGUGUGGUUAGCACCAUCGUCUUAUUUCAGGAGGUCAAGAGCAGAAGUCAAGCAUCCCCCAGACAGAGGAGGGCCGUCAGUGGAGGGCUCAGAGGAGACCCUUGUGUGUUUAGGACCAGGGCUGCAGACUAACUUCUGGAUUCUGGAGCACCUGGAGCCUUGGGUGACCGAGGAGCUCUAGAAUCUUGAGUCUGGAGGGGAGGGAGGAGACUCAGGUGAAAGGGGCCGGCUCCCUGGUUGGGGGCGCCCCACCCUGCACCUCUCUUGGGGAAGAUGUGGCUGCCCUCCUCUCAGCUGCUGGUGGCUUCUCCAGGCCACUUGAGUGCCCUGGGAACUGUCCAGCUAACAGUCGGCUGAACUGCAGGGGCAGGCGUCCCAUCUAAGUCACCCGGGCCAGAGAACGGCCUGUGGUGAGUGAAGUGGAGACCUGCCCCUGGAGGCGGGUGUGGGGACCAGAAUGGGGACCUUGGAGGGGAGCCACUGCCAUGUUUGACCUGUAAGCGGUUGCAUUCCUGACGGCUGGUUAGGUUAAUGAAAAACAAGCCCAAGGGCCUGAGGAGGCCCUCGGUGGGGUGGGAACUUCUUGCUACAGAUUCCAGGUUUCAGACUAAAGUGACAUAAAAGGUAUAGAUGGUUCAAGCUCCUUCUGUUAUGGAUGUAAACUUGGAGGCCCAGAGCAGGACAGUGACUGACCCAUGGUCACAAAGCUGGUUACAAGUUGGGCGAGGAGCCAGAUCUCCUCCCUGCUGUAGCCCACUCUGUGUGACAGUAGUUGCAUAUAUUCAGACCCAGAUGUUGUUACUACCAGCUGCCAGUGUAUGGAGUCUUUCGGUAUCAUUAUCUCAUUUUAGUAACGUUAUUAAGUAUUUAAGAUGUGCCAGCGCCUGUUCUCAGUGCUUCAGAUUUAUUUUCCUACCCUUUAAUCCUCUCAGCACUCCUCUGAGGCAGAAUUGAGCCCCAUCCCCUUUCCCAGAUGGGGCAGUGGAGGCCCCGUCGACAGUGGGAGGCUGGGGCUCGGCCGGGUGGUCUGUCUUGGGAGGCGCCCUCUUGGCCACUGCACUCGACGGCCACCUCGCAGACCUUUGCUUGAAGGGCCAGGGUGUGCGCUUGGCCUUUUGUGUUUGCGAAGGGUAAGAAGAAAGGAGAGAGGAAAGGCCUGGGGAGGGGAAGCAGGUGGAAGGGGUCAGGUGUCCCUGGAAAGCUCAGCGGUGGGUCCUCUCAGCAGCCCACCCAGACAGGCCACCCUGCAACCCCGCUGCCCCGAGACCUUGGGCCAGUUCUCUCAGCGGCCCGGCCUCAUGCCCUCACCUGCAGUGCGGGACUCUUUGGCAUGACUCUUGGGCGUGACUCCGCGGGCGUGACUCCACAGGCUGCCUCCCAAUACAGUGUCCCGGCUUAGCAGAGGUUUCAGGCUCAUUACUGUCCUCUCAACUUGUCUGUGUGUUUGAACAUUCCCAUAAUAAAAGAUUUCCUUAAAGUACAACAGAAGAUGGCCUGUCCUCAGGAAAGUGCCGAGGAGCCGCCUGGGGUCUGAGCGCAGGAAGGUCUGCGGGCCGCUGCCAGGUGCUGAUCCUGGCUGGGGUGCUGGGAAGCUCUCGGUCAAGGCAGCAGACAUCCCCUUAACUCAGGUCCCCUGACCUGCCAAUGCUCCCCGCCCCCGACCUGCUGACGGACGCCUGCAGCUAAGAGGCUGCUCCCCACAACAGGGGCAGCAAACGGUGGCCACAGGCCAGAUUUGGCCGGCCGCCUGUCUUUGCAAACAGUUUUCUUGGGACACAGCCAUGCUCAUCCACUUCUGUACUGUCUGUGGCUGCUUUCUCACCGCAGCAGCAGAGUUAAGUAAUUGUUACAGAGACCCCAUGGCCGGCAAAAGCUGCAAACAUUUACCACGUGGCCCGUACAGAGAAAGUGUCCUGGACUAGACUGCUCUAGAACAUCAUCGCUUCUGCUCUCACCAGCUGAGUUGUCUGCUUGUCACUCAGUUGUAUCUGGUUCUAAACCAGUUUGUGCCGCUUAUACUUAUUAUUGUAAGCAAUUAAAUAGUGUAUAGAUCAGUGAAAUAAGAGUGAAAGGAAAGUUUAUUACCAUGAAAAUUAGGUUAAAUGCCUUGGAAAGACCCAAUAAACGCAAGUCACUAUAAACAAUUGCUCUUAAAUCGGGUAAGGGCAAGUGAGUUGUAUAAAGUUGGAUGGGGGGGGCGUCAGCACACAAAUUAAGAAUAAUUUUGUAUUCAGAGAGCUUUGUAAACAUCUUUCAGGAUGACUCUAAGGACACUGAGACUGGAAAUUGUGGACAAUGUCCUGUAGCUGUGGUUUCGCAUGAAAGGUGACCCGCACUGAAGAAAUCCAUCAAAGUUUUGGAAAACCCAGUGACUGGUGAAGCGAGCUAUAGAAACAAAAGAAGAGAUGGGUGACUACAUCCGCUCCUACUCUGUGUCCCAGUUCCAGAAGACCUACAGUCUCCCUGAGGAUGAUGACUUCCUCAAGAGAAAAGAAAAGGCCGUCAAGACUGUUGUUGACCUCUCAGAUGUUUACAAGCCCCGUCGGAAAUACAAACGCCAGCAGGGAGCAGAGGAGCUGCUUGAUGAAGAAUCUCGAAUCCAUGCUGCACUUUUGGAAUAUGGCAGGUAAUGGAUGGGACCCUGUCUAAAGUGUCUGUUUUUUAGAACCAUUGGAAAGAAAAGCUAAUUUGAAUGGCUUCAUUGCGAUUAACUUGGUUGACUUUUACCUGAUUGACUUUGCUGUUUUUGGCCCUAGAUUUCCAGAGUCAGGGGCUUUUCUCUCUCAAGUUGUUAGCCAAGUUUCCUGAUGGUGCUAGAGACCUGACCUUUGAAAUUCCUCUCUGGAAUUGCGGGCGUAACAGGGAGCCCUGGCUCUGCCUUCCUUGGGGGUUGGGGUGUUCAGGGCAUUUGCAGCAGCGGGGGAGUGUCUGCACUGUGUGCCCCCGCCAUUUGUUGAAAUCUUUAGAUAAACUAAAGAAUUGAAAGCAGUUAUAGCAGUUUUACUUCCUUAAGUGUUAGAAUAAGAGUUUUGGUUUCCUGUGAAGAAUUGUCCUAACCAGAAAAAAGAAUUUAGAAAUGGUUUGUUACUUCUUAAAAAAGUCUCUAAUUUUUAAAAAAGCAAUCUUAGAUGCUCAGGUUUUAUGUGAAACACACACACGGAAGUGCUUCUCCUCACUGAAUUUUUGGUUGACCCUGGGUGUUGACCUUCGUUCAUGUCCUGCGUUUUCUACUUAGGGUGACUGACUCCUUGAUGUGAGUGUGCCUCCUUGUGCUUCUUCCUUUAUGCUGGAAGUGGUUGCUGUGCGCUGCCUCACAACCCAACCCUCCUUGGGUGGCUGGAACUAACAGCACUACCACCUAGUGUCUCCCUAAAUGAGCACCCGAUGGCUUCCCCCUCUGGGGUAAUGGAACCAGCGGAAAUUAGGCUUAAUUGGCUUAAUUAUUCCAUCUUUCAAAUGGAAUUGCAAUCACCACUCUGUUUUUGUUUUUGAGGGAGUAGUGUGGGGUCAAGUCCUUCCUUCCCAAGGAUGAAAACUAGUCUGUUUUCUAACUAGUUGUUAGUUCUGUCCCUAAGCCACCUGGUGUGUCGACUGCCCCCACAGCUGACAAGUUGCUGCUGUGAAUUGAACUCCUCUUCUGAGUCAGGCAGUACCAGAGCAGCUACGUAAUUUAUGGGACCCAAUAUAAAUGAAAAUGCAGGGCCCCUUGUUAAGAAUUAUUAAUAAUGAUUAAUUGUCAAGAAUUUCAAGACAGCAACAACAACCAAGUGUGGGGCCCUUCUGCCUGUGGGGGCCCUGUGCAGCUGGACGGUUGCACGCCAUGGGCACCGUGAUGGGGUCUUUCUAGCCAAGCCCAAGCUGCAAGUGAGUAGAUGAGGCUGCACUGCUCUGGGUGACCCAGAGCUGGAGAGACAACCUCUGUGAAUGUCACGUGUUCCAGAGCCAGAGUACUUAGGGGAAUGUUGUGCUGUUUGUUAGUUUGUAUUGUUCAUACCUCCAUUUUUUCCAAUAUCAUGGAUCCUCCGAUGUUCCUGGGAGUGAAAAGGAGUCAGAGAGUUGGUAAAUGACCCACCUCACGGAGACCAUCCUGACGCUAUUUAGAUACUUUGUUUUGAAAUCCUCAGUUUCCAAUUGGAUCUUUUGCAUGCAUGGUAGAUGGUAGCUGUUAUCACCUUGUGAGGGCUAGGUAAAUUUGAGACAUCCUCUGAAUCCUCAGGAGUGCUUGGUGCAGUUUGAGGCCAGAGUCAGGCUGGGCUUUCUUUACGGAAGGGAGCAGGGCACAGCUUCUGUUUGUGACUCCUCUCACAUUUGGAGGGUGAGAAAGGGGCACAGUGUCGCAGUACCAAUCUUAGUUCCUGUUGGUGGGUCAUGCUGAGUUCUCCUGAUUUCUAAGACGAGGGUAGGUGUGUGAUGAGGAUUUUUUGUUUUUGUUUUUUUGGGAGAGGGAUUAUUUUGCUUUCUGUGGAGCUUUCUGGCAAUGAGAGAGUGGGUUUCUGAGAGGUGGGCAAAUGGAUACUUAGGACAUUUGAUAGUUUUUUUAGCUCAUUCUCCUUUGUGAGAAUGAUAAAGACAGCAUUCAGAAGGGUUAAAAAAUAAUUUGCCCAAGGUCAACUACUAACGGUUAAGAACUAUUAAGAGCCUCAGACUGUGACUUGAACUCAGGUUUGUUGGGCUCUAAAAGCGUGUCAUUAUCGUUAUCUACAAAUAUUGUUUGAGCCUCCAGUGAGAGUCUGGCUCUUGGUUUUAGAAAGACAGGUGUAGUCUUAGUUAUUUGGUCUGAGACCGAAUAAGAAAGGAGUGGUUGUUAAAACUGACAGAGUAUAUUGGAUAAAGUUAAAGUGCCAACAAGUGUGUUUUGUUUUCCUUCUUUGGCAAGUCCCCUCCCCUCCUUUCUGGCUCUCCGACUCUUUCCUCAGGGUUCUGUUCAGAACUCUCCACUGCAUGGAGACCUUUCCCCUUAAAUGAGGAUUACAUAACAAUAUAUAUGUGAAUAACUUUGAACGGUUUGUCUUGUGUAGAAAAUGGUAAAUGUCAACUCUUAGAUGCUGUCAUCACCAUUAUCACCAUCAUCAUUAGCAGCAGCAGUUUUCUGUUCUCAAAUGCCCUUAAAUGGGACCUUUAGAUUCAAAUGAGGAUGCUAUCCUGAGCCUCUCCUUUCAGUUCUCCUUGUCCCUAAAUACUCAGUACCCCUAGCACCAACCCUCCCUCCAGCCCCGUUAUUCUUACUCUUAGUCCCUCUGCCUUCCCUUCCCCAGUCAAGCAAGGCUGGCCCCCUGCUGGCUCUGGGACUCACUCUGCUGUAUCCUGCCUCUCCCUUUAUGUUGUGGCAUCCCUUACUUGCUCAUCCCCACCUAGGAAUCCAGAUCCCCCAUCUGUUGUCAGGACUUCUGUUUUCCUCUUCAUCUCACCUCUUGAUCAGAGGGAGAGUAUUUUGACUCCGAGAGGAAGAAAGUCUGAAAAUAGAGUUUCCUCUUUGGGCUGAAGAGCACUCGUCAGCCGAGGCCCACAGUGCAUCUGGCUUUGAGGUCAGCAUUGCAGCUUAUUCCUCCUUUUAGACUUUCAGUGGCUUAAAUAAGGCUGAGCUUUAAGCCUGGUCAGCCCUGCUGAAGGCCUUAAGGACCGUGUGUCCAUUAAAAACAUGUUUGAGUAUGUUUAUUCAAAUGUUAUGCUGUUGGAAAAACAAAACUCAUAGUUUUGAUUUUUGACUUAAAAUUGAAACUCUGUAAUAUUUCAGUUUUAUUAUGAGUCCAGUCAACUUUUAGGAGCCAAUUUAAACACCUAACCAUGCUCUACAAACUGCCGCUGUGGGGAAAUGCAUUUUAUGUGCAGUGUGUUUGACUUGCAAGUGGAAUUUUGAAGCACAGCCACUAGAGGCUGGAGUUAGCCUUCUCUACACUAUUUGACGCUCAAUUUCGAGUUGCCUUGAAUUCAUUCUGUACUUAGUAAAUGAAAUAUGAUGUGCCUGUCCCGGGCUGUUUGUGUCCUCUCUGAUGUUGAGGCCCAUGACAUGCUCAUAGAAGGUAGUUAAUAAAUGCUUGUUGGAUGAACGAAGAAUAAGGCCCACAGUCCUUAAUAUUUAGGGCUUUUUUAAUGUUCCUAUUUUGUUCUGGGUUGCAGAUCGUUUGAUAUUUGUCUUAAUUUGUCCUGGGGCAAUUGUUCUUGAUGUUUAGUUUGUUUUUUAGAACUGUGAGUUCCCACAUGGUAGCCACUAGCCACACAUAAUGGAAUAUUAUUCAUCCUUGAAAAAAGAAGGAAAUCGUGCCAUUUUAACAGCUUGGGUGAGUCUGGAAGACGUUAUGCUAAGUGAAGGAAGGCAGACAUAGAAGGAGAAAUACUACAUAAUACCACUUACUUGAGGCAUCUAAAACAGUCAGACUUACAGAAGAAGAGAGUAGAGUGGUGGUUGCCAGGGGCUGGGGAAAGGGGAAAUGGAGAGGUGUCAGUCAAAGGGUUGUCAGUGUCAGUUACUCAAGGUGACCAUGUCCUGGAGAGCUACUGUGCCUCUGGGUACUAGUGCUGGGUGUUGUAUUUAAAACUUUGCUCAGAGGGUAAAUCUUAUGUUAGAUAUUCUUAUCACACACACACACA